rnacentral:rRNA from 1 species
GACGAACGCUGGCGGCGUGCCUAAUACAUGCAAGUGGGACGCAAGGGAACACACUGUGCUUGCACACCGUGUUUUCUUGAGUCGCGAACGGGUGAGUAACGCGUAGGUAACCUGCCUAUUAGCGGGGGAUAACUAUUGGAAACGAUAGCUAAUACCGCAUAAUAUUAAUUAUUGCAUGAUAAUUGAUUGAAAGAUGCAAGCGCAUCACUAGUAGAUGGACCUGCGUUGUAUUAGCUAGUUGGUAAGGUAAGAGCUUACCAAGGCGACGAUACAUAGCCGACCUGAGAGGGCGAUCGGCCACACUGGGACUGAGACACGGCCCAGACUCCUACGGGAGGCAGCAGUAGGGAAUCUUCGGCAAUGGACGAAAGUCUGACCGAGCAACGCCGCGUGAGUGAAGAAGGUUUUCGGAUCGUAAAGCUCUGUUGUAAGUCAAGAACGUGUGAGAGAGUGGAAAGUUCACACAGUGA